GACGAACGCUGGCGGCGUGCUUAACACAUGCAAGUCGAGCGGUAAGGCCCUUUCGGGGGUACACGAGCGGCGAACGGGUGAGUAACACGUGGGUGACCUGCCCUCAGCUCUGGGAUAAGCCUGGGAAACCGGGUCUAAUACCGGAUAUGACUCCAUGACGCAUGUUGUGGGGUGGAAAGCCUUGUGCGGCUGAGGAUGGGCCCGCGGCCUAUCAGCUUGUUGGUGGGGUGAUGGCCUACCAAGGCGACGACGGGUAGCCGGCCUGAGAGGGCGACCGGCCACACUGGGACUGAGACACGGCCCAGACUCCUACGGGAGGCAGCAGUGGGGAAUAUUGCGCAAUGGCCGCAAGGCUGACGCAGCGACGCCGCGUGU
rnacentral:rRNA from 1 species